AAACGGCGUUAGAAGCGGUCUAAUUCUAAUACUAUCUAUAUUUGAGUCACUCUACUCCUUUUCUUUCUUUCUUCAUUUUCAGCGCUUUAUUGCCCCCUCCUUUCUCUUUCGUUAAUUAGGGUUUUCCAUUUCCAUCGUCGUUUUCAACCCGUAACGACGUCGUUUCAAGAUGAUGCCCCCUGGAUUCGUUUCCAAUCUCCAAGAAGUGCUUCUCAACCGAAAAGGCGAUUCGAAUUCGAAUUCAAAUGCGGAGCAAGAACAAUCCAGCAGCGAGAACUCUGAGCCUGUUGAAUUCGACGCGUCGAAGCCAAUUGUGUUGGUGACGAACGGCGAUGGCGUCGAUUCCCCUGGCCUCACGCACCUCGUUGAAGCUCUCGUUCAACAAGGCCUCUACAAUGUCCACGUCUGCGUUCCUCAAUCGGACAAAUCGGUUUCCGGGCACUCCGUAACGCUUCGAGAAACUAUAGAAGCUGCUUCUGCCAAAAUUAAUGGCGCCACCGCCUUUGAGAUUUCAGGAACUCCCGUGGAUUGUGUUUCGCUAGCGUUAUCUGGAGCGUUGUUUUCGUGGUCUAAGCCUAUGCUGGUUAUUAGUGGGAUUAACCGCGGAUCAAACUGUGGUCAUCACAUGUUCUACUCAGGGGUUGUUGCCGGAGCCAGGGAGGCGUUGUUAUCUGGUGUACCAGCUUUAUCGAUGUCAUUAAAUUGGAAGAAGGAUGAAAGUCAAGAAAAUGAUUUCAAGGAUGCAGUGUCAGUCUGUUUACCGUUAAUAAAUGCAGCUAUUAGGGAUGUUGAAAAGGGAACUUUUCCCAAAAGCUGUUUUUUAAAUAUAGAAAUUCCCACAUCUCCUUUGAAUAGCAAGGGUUUCAAAUUGACCAAACAAAGUAUAUGGAGAUCCACUCCAAACUGGCUAGCUAUUUCCUCCAGCCGCUAUCCAACUGGUCAUUUCUUAGCCAAUCAAGGUGGCCUUGGUCUUCAGUUUGCACAGCUUGGCCGAGAUGCUUCUGCUGCUGGUGCAGCUCGUCGAUUGGCUACACAGAAAAAGAAUUUGGAGAUUAUUGAAUCAAUGGGAUCUGCAGGGAAAUCUGAUCCCAACAGGGUGAAGAAGUACUUUAGACUAGAGAAGUGAACUUAGCUACACUCUUCUUGUAUCUUCAGUUUUCGGACAAUCAGCAGGAGGAAGAAAUAGACGAAGAUCUGGAUUACAGAGCACUUGAAAGUGGAUAUGUUGCAGUGACUCCGCUGUCUCUUUCUCCUCAUAUUGAGACUGAUAUUCAAAUGGCAGCUUCUGAUUGGAUUUCUGCUGUGCUUCCUGGUGAACAAUAAAUUUAGUAUGAUUGUGUACAUUUGAGAUUUAUGAUGAUUCUUUUUUCUCUUUUUUUCUACCUUAAAGCAAAAAUGGAGCAGAAGCGGUAGUCACACCAAUUCAAUAGUGGAUUUCCACUUGUACUAUUUUUCUUUUUCUACAUUAUUUUGUUCCCUUUUUCAUUGUUUCAGUCCCUUUGGUCACUUAGUUAUUUCUGAUUUGAAGCAAAUGCUUCUUGUAAUUUCUUGGGCAUAUUUUAGAAAAAUGCCAUUUCGUCUGUUUGUAUACUUGGGCAUAUUAUUGAUUACUACCAAAAACACGGGAGCAGCUGUAAUUUUCCGGGUUUUUUUGUUUGUUUGUUUGAAGAUAGUUAAACUUUGGAUUGAUGUUUUCUUAUCCUCUGACUAAAAUACAUUGGUUACAAGUUAGUUGCA